ACUCUUAGCGGUGGAUCACUUGGCUCGUGGAUCGAUGAAGAACGCAGCUAGCUGCGAUAAAUAGUGCGAAUUGCAGACGCAUUGAGCACAAAGAUUUCGAACGCACAUUGCACCAUCGGGUUGAUUCCCGAUGGUACGUCUGGCUGAGGGUCGA
rnacentral:rRNA from 1 species